rnacentral:rRNA from 1 species
CCCAGCUCGUCAUGUUAGAACACUUUUUCAAUGUGCUCCCCAACAACAAGGCGACGACGCAUUCGUAUGUCAAUCCUUAUCAACUUUCGAUGCCAUUUACUGCGCCUACCAUGGUGACCACGGGUAACGGGGAAUCAGGGUUCCAUUCCGUACAGGGACCCUGACAAACGGCUACCACAUGAAAGGAAGGCAGCAGGCGCACAUAUGACCCACUCCCGACGCGGGGAGGUAGUGACG